rnacentral:rRNA from 1 species
AACGUAGGAGCCAAGCGUUAUCCGAAUUUACUGGGCGUAAAGCGCGUGCAGGCGGCUCGAUAAGUUGAUUGUGAAAUCGCCCGGCUCAACUGGGCGAGGCCGGUCAAGACUGUCGGGCUGGAGGGCAGUAGAGGGAGGUGGAAUUCCCGGUGUAGUGGUGAAAUGCGUAGAGAUCGGGAGGAACACCAGUGGCGAAAGCGGCCUCCUGGGCUGUACCUGACGCUCAGACGCGAAAGCUAGGGGAGCAAACGGG